AUAGACAUAGGGCUGUCAUGCGGCAGUUAAUUGCACCUGCUGACCAUUGGGGCGGCAGUAUAUAAGUACGGCCCUCCUUCUCGCACGCUCACUAACGCAUCAUUUCCGGGUCAGGUGUUUGCCUGUGCAGGUAAUGCUCCAUGCCGCUGCUGCGGCUACUGCUCUGUUUCAUCUUUUACUGUGUCCUGUUGCUUAAAGCCUGCGUGUUUUCACUGCAGAGCAGCGACCGAGUGCCCCGUGCUUUGUGCUCCAUGCUCCGUUUAGACCUUGGUUCUCUCUGGCGGUGGUAAGUGUCCUCUCUCUCUGUGUUACACCGAAUGCUAUCCUGUAGCUAACGCUAGUGUGGUCACAGGUAGAUGUCCGCUGCCGUGUGGGUCUCUCUCUCCCUCCCUCUCCCUGUGCAGGUUUGACUUUGAAAACAGGCAUCUGCACGAAUUUAAAGAGACAAAGCAGCAGUGGUUUCCAGUGGACCUUCGUGCCAGUUUUGGUGAGAUUUGGUAUAGCAGAUUAGGCCUAGGUAGUAGUUUGAGCUUUAUUGUAGCUAUGGAGGAAGAGUUACAGGAACUUAGAGAUCUGAUUAAA